CAAACCACUCCAAAGGGCUCAAAGCAAAUCAUUGCCCUAUAUUCCAUUUAAAAUUAUUGCAUUCAUAUGCUUUGGAACAUAAUAAAAAUAGUGACAACUUUUCCUUCUUAUAAGCACUCGAUGGUCAAGCUGAUACUGCAAGUUCAUACAUGUCAUAAAAAUAAGAGACACAAAAAUAAAAACGGAAGCAAAAGGAAUACAAAAAAAAUAAUCUCGAACUUGUUACUUGAAAUAAGAAAAAAUUGAGAAAAAAAAGUAUGCUACACUCCUAACCUCAAUGAUUAGCCUCAAUGACCAUCGUUAAGCAGAAAUAUCACCAAGAAAAAUGCAAAAUAAAAGUCCAACUACUGCCUGGGCCUGCCGUUGCGCGCACCGUACGAGUGAGUAUAUAUAUAUGUACAGUGCAAUCCUUUCCAUCCAUCCAAGAACAACAACACCAGUUUAUCCGCCAUAGAAUGCAACUUCAAACCGCAAAGCAAAUGCAGUUUGCAUCUUAUCAAAAUCGAAACGGCAAUAAACUAUCUUUUGUACAAGCGCAAGAAGCAAGGUGGGUACAAGUUGGAGGAGUUUUGUGGCACUGGUUGGUAUACUGUAGCUGGUGCUAGUGCUGGUGCUGUUUCAAGUGCUCUGUAGCUCCCUCGCUGGUGCAACAACAACAACGACGACGCGACGAUCAUUCUGGCCCUGGCAAUAAGUUGCAGUACCAGAGGUAGAUAUUUCCCAUUCUCACGAAAUGCACAUAAAAUCUUUUUAGGGUUCAAAAUAAAAAGAUAUCUUAACUUACCAUGUCGUUUGGAGAAUGAAUUCCAAAAAUGAAAAUCACAUUCAAUCCGAAAAGAAAGCGAGU